rnacentral:rRNA from 1 species
AUACGGAGGGUGCAAGCGUUACUCGGAAUCACUGGGCGUAAAGGACGCGUAGGCGGGUUGGUAAGUCAGAUGUGAAAUCCUACAGCUUAACUGUAGAACUGCAUUUGAAACUACUAACCUAGAGUAUGGGAGGGGGAGAUGGAAUUAGUGGUGUAGGGGUAAAAUCAGUAGAUAUCACUAGGAAUACCGAAAGCGAAGGCGAUCUCCUGGAACAUAACUGACGCUAAGGCGUGAAAGCGUGGGGAGCAAACAGGAUUAGAUACCCUAGUAGUCC